CUACGGGCGGCAGCAGUGGGGAAUAUUGGACAAUGGGGGAAACCCUGAUCCAGCAAUGCCGCGUGUGUGAAGAAGGCCUGCGGGUUGUAAAGCACUUUCGGUUGGGAGGACUGCUUCUAGCACUAAUAUUGUUGGAAGUUGACGUUACCUUCAGAAGAAGCACCGGCUAACUCCGUGCCAGCAGCCGCGGUAAUACGGAGGGUGCAAGCGGUAAUCGGAAUUACUGGGCGUAAAGCGCGCGGAGGCGGCUAGAUCAGUCGGGUGUGAAAGCCCCGGGCUUAACCUGGGAACUGCAUCCGAUACUGUCUAGCUUGAGUACAGGAGAGGAGAGUGGAAUUCCACAUGUAGCGGUGGCAUGCGUAGAUAUGUGGAGGAACACCAAUGGCGAAGGCAGCUCUCUGGCCUGAUACUGACGCUGAGGUGCGAAAGCGUGGGGAGCAAACAGGAUUAGAUACCCCGGUAGUC
rnacentral:rRNA from 1 species